rnacentral:rRNA from 1 species
CCCCAGGCGGAGGCUACCAUGCAAGUCGAGUCGUAACGGUGAGCUUGCGCCGCCGACGACCGGGGCACGGGUGCGCACCGCGUAUGGAACCUACCUUGUACAGGGGAAUAGCCCAGGGAAACUUGGAUUAAUGCCCCGUAGUACUAUUAUUCGGCAUCGUUUAAUAGUUAAAGAUUUCGGUCGGUACAAGAUGGCCAUGCGUCCCAUUAGCUUGUUGGUAAGGUAACGGCUUACCAAGGCUACGAUGGGUAGGGGCCCUGAGAGGGGGAUCCCCCACACUGGUACUGAGACACGGACCAGACUCCUACGGGAGGCAGCAGUGAGGAAUAUUGGACAAUGGAGGAGACUCUGAUCCAGCCAUGCCGCGUGCAGGAAGAAUGCCCUAUGGGUAGUAAACUGCUUUUAUACGGGAAGAAAAAGAGCUACGUGUAGCUUACUGACGGUACCGUAAGAAUAAGGACCGGCUAACUCCGUGCCAGCAGCCGCGGUAAUACGGAGGGUCCGAGCGUUAUCCGGAAUUAUUGGGUUUAAAGGGUCCGUAGGCGGGCCGAUAAGUCAGGGGUGAAAGUUUGCAGCUCAACUGUAAAAUUGCCUUUGAUACUGUUGGUCUUGAGUUAUAGUGAAGUUGCCGGAAUAUGUAGUGUAGCGGUGAAAUGCAUAGAUAUUACAUAGAACACCGAUUGCGAAGGCAGGUGACUAACUAUAUACUGACGCUGAUGGACGAAAGCGUGGGGAGCGAACAGGAUUAGAUACCCUGGUAGUCCACGCCGUAAACGAUGGAUACUAGCUGUCCGAGGCCUUGAGUCUUGGGCGGCCAAGCGAAAGUGAUAAGUAUCCCACCUGGGGAGUACGUUCGCAAGAAUGAAACUCAAAGGAAUUGACGGGGGCCCGCACAAGCGGUGGAGCAUGUGGUUUAAUUCGAUGAUACGCGAGGAACCUUACCAGGCUUAAAUGCAUAUUGACAGGUCUAGAGAUAGAUUUUCCUUCGGGCAAUUUGCAAGGUGCUGCAUGGUUGUCGUCAGCUCGUGCCGUGAGGUGUCAGGUUAAGUCCUAUACGAGCGCAACCCCUACCGUUAGUUGCCAGCAUGUCAUGAUGGGGACUUCUAACGGA